rnacentral:rRNA from 1 species
GACGAACGCUGGCGGCGUGCUUAACACAUGCAAGUCGAACGGAAAGGCCCUGCUUUUGUGGGGUGCUCGAGUGGCGAACGGGUGAGUAACACGUGAGUAACCUGCCCUUGACUUUGGGAUAACUUCAGGAAACUGGGGCUAAUACCGGAUAGGAGCUCCUGCUGCAUGGUGGGGGUUGGAAAGUUUCGGCGGUUGGGGAUGGACUCGCGGCUUAUCAGCUUGUUGGUGGGGUAGUGGCUUACCAAGGCUUUGACGGGUAGCCGGCCUGAGAGGGUGACCGGCCACAUGGGGCAUGAGAGACGCCCCAGAGUCGUACGGGAGGCAGCGGGGGGGAGUAUGGCACAGUGGGGGGAGGCCGGAUGCGGCAGCGCCGGGUGCGGAAUGACGGCUUUCGGGUUGAAAACCGCUUUCGCCUGAGACGAAGCGGGGGUGACGGUAAUGGAAAAAGAAGCACCGGCUAACUACGUG